GAUGAACGCUGGCGGCGUGCUUAACACAUGCAAGUCGAACGAAGCAUUUAGGACAGAUUACUUCGGUUUGAAGUUCUUUAUGACUGAGUGGCGGACGGGUGAGUAACGCGCGGGUAACCUGCCUUGUACUGGGGGAUAGCAGCUGGAAACGGCUGGUAAUACCGCAUAAGCGCACAAUGUUGCAUGACAUGGUGUGAAAAACUCCGGUGGUAUAAGAUGGACCCGCGUCUGAUUAGCUAGUUGGUGAGAUAACAGCCCACCAAGGCGACGAUCAGUAGCCGACCUGGGAGGGUGACCGGCCACAUUGGGACUGAGACACGGCCCAGACUCCUACGGGAGGCAGCAGUGGGGAAUAUUGCACAAUGGAGGAAACUCUGAUGCAGCGACGCCGCGUGAGUGAAGAAGUAAUUCGUUAUGUAAAGCUCUAUCAGCAGGGAAGAUAGUGACGGUACCUGACUAAGAAGCUCCGGCUAAAUACGUG
rnacentral:rRNA from 1 species